CCGGCGCACGGGUGAGUAACGCGUAUGUAAUCUACCUGUAACAGAGGGAUAACCCGGAGAAAUCCGGACUAAUACCUCAUAGCACAUAUUAUUCGCAUGAAUUUUAUGUUAAAGAGACUCGGUUACAGAUGAACAUGCGUUCCAUUAGCUGGUUGGCGGGGUCACGGCCCACCAAGGCAACGAUGGAUAGGGGUUCUGAGAGGAAGGUCCCCCACACUGGUACUGAGACACGGACCAGACUCCUACGGGAGGCAGCAUG
rnacentral:rRNA from 1 species